GGACUCACAGGCCUCCCUUCCACUCACAGCUUUUUGAAGUAGCUCUGUGGACUUACACCAGAGAGAUGAAAAGCUGAAAUCCAGCUGCCGUUCAUUCCUGCUUUGAGAUUAGGAAAGGUAGAGCUGAAUUUGGGCUAUGUUACUCAGAAGCUUUUCCCCAGCUGAUGGAGGCCUGCCCUGGAGGUGCUCAGCUCCAUCUCUGCUGUCCAGGCUGUGAGCAAGAACACCUAAGGAAAGCCAGCAGCCUCCUUCACUCUCCCUCCCCAUCCAUUCAGGUACAGGCCACAAGUCUGCAGCAUCUCACUACAAAAUCAGCACAGAGGCAGUGAUCACACCACGAUGAAAAAAAAAAAAAUAGAUUAAAAAGAGAGGAAAAAAUCAGCUGCUAGAACAAAAGCCAAACAGAAAUGUGUUCCUUAAAUUAUUAGUAGUGUAUUAGAGGUGAUUUAGCACUCACAUGGCCAUUCCUACAACUGCAGAGACCCUGCAACAUAUCUUAUUCCCUUUGUAAUGCGGAUGGCACUGAGAUUGCUCUCAUCUUCUGGGCUUAUAAGCAAAUAUAUUUAAUUUGGAUGUAAUACAGCCAGGAGGGUGAUUUCUCCAGAUGGCGAUUUAAGCAACAGAUCAAGAGAUGAAUUAAGCACCUCAUUCCUUCAGAUUUUAGGAGAUCUGCAGGUGCCAGGGAUCCUGCCUCCAGCUUGGGUCCAGGGUAAAUUUCGGCCAAGAUGAAGCCUCUUAUUGGCUGCAUGAAUUCUAGCCUCCUUCAUUAACAUGAAGAGUGCCGUGCUCCCCGCUGUCUUAGGAGUUACAGAACAUUUAAAAGAUGAUUUGCGGACAGAUUAAGGACUUCAGAAGGAGAGAUGACACCAGACCUAGGUCUUGCAGAUGCAAACUCCUGUCAAGUGUGAGAGGAGGGGGAGUAUUAUCCACCAGUGGCAGAUAGGCUGGGCAUCUGGGCAGAAUGAUAAGAGCUGUGGCCCUGCAGCCAGUCCCUGCAUUUGCACCCUGAGUUUGCCAUGAGCUGUGUGACCUUAGUCAAGUUUCUCAACCUCUCUGUGCCUCAGCUUCCUUCUCUGAAAAAUGGGGAUCGUGUUUUGCACACAGCCCGACACACAGCAAAUAUUCAGUGACUGCUGCCGCUUUCUGCCAUGGCUAAAGGUGGUGUUGUGGUUUUCCUUCCAGGUUUUUAUGCUUUAAUUUCCUAACUGUUCCUGCAUUACUUCACAGUUGAUGACGUGUGGGGCCAAGCUCUUGGCACACGUGAGCACAGUGGAUAUUCAAGGAGCGUUAACUCGGGUCCAUUUUUCUUUCCAUCAAACACAGCCUCCUGGUAAAAGAGCCAUUCAGGAUGCCUGGAGGAGCCCAGAUUUCAAAUCUGAUGAAGUCUGCAGUUCUAUAAAUUCCCUCCCUCUUUUGUGCUGAUGGCAACGACUUUUAUAUGUAUUUUCAUGUCUUUCUCUCCAGAGAUAAAUUUUGUGGCCUGCCACUGAAUCUGCUUCCUAAAAUGUAGCUUGGAGAUUUUAUUUGAGAUAAACUAUCAUGUGAAUAAAUAUAGAUACUAUAUUUUAAUCUGGGAGCGUUCCAUUUGGAACCUUUUUUUUUUUUUAAAGUCAACAUUAGUGGUGCCGUCAUUCAAAGGAUAUGGACGUUUGGGGGAAAUUUACAUCCAACUGUGACUGAGAACCUUUUGCCAGGAUAAUAUCUGUUUCUCUGAAAAUGACAAUGGCUAUGGACGUAAAGCAUGAUCUCAGAUGGCAGUCCCGAAAUCAGGAAGGUCCAUUUCAACACAUCUCCUGGCCCCUGUGGCAAGCUACAAUGCUGGUAUGCUCGCAUGGUAGGGUCUCUGCCUUGCAGGUAACACGUGUCCAUCUGAGAAUAGUAAAGGAGGUUCAUUUGUUUAUGUGCUGGUGGUGCUGAGGAGUUUCACAGAGGCUGGAAAACAGGGGCUGGCAAUUGAUUCCCCCCAGAGCCCUCCGUUUCACAUUGCCCCACCCCAGAGACCAUGGGAGAUGAUCAUGGGAGAGGAAGGUAAACAUGCAUCAGUGGAGCGGGAGAGUGAAGGGGUGAAGAAACAGGAAACUGCGAUCACUGUGGGACGUUGCCCUUUUUUCAUGACCACGAAGAUGCAAAAUGCUGAGCCUUGUUAUUUCUGGCCCAGGUAGGAAUUGGUGCUUCCAUUUAAUUAGCGUAUCAUAGAAUCAGAUUAUUGACCAUGGGUUGGGUCCACACCAAAACCCCUGAGCGCCUGAGCCCGGGGGAGCCCUAAGCUCUCCUUGUCCGAGAGUCGUGAGGGAGGCACCCUAGGAGCCCCUGCAGGAUUCUAGGGGCCAAUUGAUCUCAUAGCUUUUAGGGAGAAAAUGCCCCUAACAAUACUUUCUUUCUCAUCUGUGCAAUAUGCAAUAAAUUCAUCUACCCACAAACUGAAACGUGAACAACUGCUUAAGUAUCACAAAGCAGUCCAUGAUACACCAAAAAAGAUGCUGUUCCAGGAAAGUAACAAAAUUGCCUGUUCUCCACGCCUCACCCCGUUUAUGGACUUUCAGUUCUCCACGGUAAUAGAGUGGGAGGUGAUGAACAAAGCGAGACCUCACCAGAGGCUGUGUGAUUUGUGGAAACUUUGAAUAACUCUUUUUAUCCCAGGCCCCUUCUAGUGAAAGUCCAUUUUAUGAUUUGUACAAACCAACAUUGUUUUUGCGGGAGGGCAUGUCAACACCCCGAAUGGCUGAAACUGACCCAGAAGUCAAAUUAGCUGGAAUUGAAUCUAUAAAAUGGAUUCAUUUGCACCUCAUUAGAACAUAAAAGCAAAUCCAAGUUCACAUGGGGAGGUGGGGGAGGGCAAAGCGGUACUAAUAGAAGAAAAGAUGUUGGCUGAAAACAUGUUUUGAAAACAAGGUGUUAAAUGAUAAAAUAUGGCAAAAAAAGCAAAUGGAGAAUCCACAAACACAUAUGGGUUAACUCUACUCCAGCACACUGGGCCUGUGAGAAACAGAUUGAGCUUGCACCUUCAAGGCCGUUGUGAUCAAUGGGAGAGCAGACAUGCAAACAAUGGAAGGUAAGGGGGCUGGUGUCACCUGAGGAUGAGGAGAAGGCUAAGCAGAGGCAGGAGAGAGCCUCUCUGAUUAGAGAGGCAGAGAUGGAAUCCGAGAGUCUGGCAUCAAGGGGAGCCUAGAGCAUGAACAUGAUGCUGUUCAGCUGUGUCUGUGUUCACAGAGGCACUGAGACGGGUACCAGGGUGUAGAUGCCAAGGACGGAGAACAUUUGAAGAAGGCAUGGACAGUUGGCAGAGGCAACUGAGGUGCUAAGUGGGAGCAGAUGGGAGGGGCACUGGGGAUGGAGGAGCACCUUGGGGCUCUGAGAGACUGGCUUUGAGGGCACUAGCCCUGAAGCCUGUUCUGUGGGUUAUAAUCCAAGCCAAGUGGUAUCUCCUUUAAAAAAGGUGGCCAGAUUUCUGAUGGCAUCUCUUCAAGGUAUACAUCCAUGGCAGGGAUGAGUCAGCACCCAGCCUUGCUGGACAUGGAAUCAGGCCACAGAGCCUGGUCACGUAGUGCCAUGUAAGUUUCAGUGGGAAGCCUCUCUUACAGUAUACCUGGGCAUUUCCUGUGUCUCCUCCCUGAAAUGUUUUCUGAACAACUUCUGAAAUGUCAGUGUUUCUCUAAAAGAAAGUGAGGAACCUCUGUAAAACACCUUCUUUUUCUUUUGAAAUGGGAUCUCACUCUGUCUCCCAGGCUAGAGAGCAGUGACUCCAUAACAGCUCACUAUAGAUAGCCUCAACCUCCAGGGCUCAAGCAAUCCUCCCACCUCACCCUCUGGACUAGCUGGGACUACAGGCAUGUGCUACCAGGCCUGGCUAAAUUUUUUUCUUUUUUUUAUAGAGACAGGGGUCUCCCUAUGUUGCCCAGGCUGGCCUUCAACUCCUGAGCUCAAGCAAUCCUCCCACCUUGGCCUCCCAAACUACUGGGCUUACAGGCAUAAGCCACUGUGAUUCUUAAACCCUGCCCAUCUCUGCCUACUCCUCUCCCCAGACCACAGCUCUCUAGGACUAACUCCUAUUUAGGAAGCAUAGAGAAAAGUCUGACAAUUAAAAGUGUUUUGUUUGUUGGGUGAUGAAUUUCCAGGGCCUCCAUCUACUGUGUAGCACUUAAUCGUUACUUUUCGUAAUAUUGUGACUAACCUUCCUGGCCAUGAGAACCAGGCUGUCUCUCUUUGAUGUACGGUGAGGAUGCUGGAGUUGUUUUGCUAGGGCUGAAAAUCCUGUGUGCCUCUAGAUGUUAGAUUUCCCUUGGAAAAAGGCUGUAUGGGGCCAGUACAAAGAGAAUUGUUUAUGCUUCUGUGAGGAGAUGCCAAAAAAUAUAUAAGAACAACAACAACAAAAAAUCCGCCAUCAAAUUUACUCCUUAAGUUUACUGACAGCCUGUCACAAUGAAAUAAAACAUUUAUAUUCACUUUAUGGACUUAAUUUAAAAUGACUUAGUUGAAGAAAGCAGCCCCUUGCUUUGAACUACCUGCAAUCCGAACACGAAACUCGUCAUGAGAAUGUGGAAGGAGGUUGCCGGACGCUGCUGGCUGCCUUCCAGCGUCCACUUCCCUUUCUCUCUCUCCUGACACAGCUCCGUCGUGUGUUUGGUCCCCAGGCCUGAGGUCUCUGUGCUGCCGGGGAAGCUGACCAUGCUAGUUCCAAUGGUGGCCUUGGUUUAGAAAAUGCAAAAAAGAUCUCUGCAGGUCAAACAGCGAUAAGGAAAGGUUAGCAGUGAGAAUUCAUCAGACAAGAAGGUGCCUGAGUUUUGGCACAAGGUCACGUUCACUCUCUGCUUUUGACUGUGCUGCUUGUUUAGGCACAGAGAUGCUGUGGCUGAGUGUCUUGCUGGUGGAGGCUGCACAUGCAGCCCUGUGGGAGGUGGAGCCGGUACGGGCAGAUGAUGUCAGAUGUGAAGCGUGCCCACCUGCUGGACUUCCAGGAGGACUAGGCAGAUAACUGCCCUGGUGUUUCAGGCACUUUGAGCUGGGGGUUCCGUUGUUUGUCGAUGAGAGAGUCCCUGGAUGCCAAGAGCUUUAGAGCAUCUUAUCACUCACGUUGGAGUUGGGACCAAAGCGAUUCAAAGGAGGCCACAGUCAGCUGUUCUCAGCAUCUGAAGCCCAUGACUUGCAUCUUUUCCAGAGGCAGCAUCCCAGGCUGUGACGGCCAGCCAGGCAUCCCCGGCAUUCUCCCCGUCCUGCCCAGGAGAAAGGGCCCUGUGACUGCAUGACACUCCCUCUUCCAUCAUCCAUGUUGCAGCCCCUCCAAGCUGGUUAAUGGAGAAAAGGAAUUUCAGAGGCUUAGGGGCUUGCUGCUUUGCCAGCAUUUCUGAAAGGCUUCAGAGCAACUUUAAGGAUUUUUACAACAAUGGCAGUGCUUAUUUGAAUGAUCUUGUACUUUUACCAACACAGUGCAAAGCCCUCCACAUGCAUCCCAGCACCCUAGUUAAGACAGCCCUGUGAUGUGGGCCCCUGAGCUCUCCCUGCUGCACGAAUGAGGAAACGUGCCCGAGAGGGUCCUGGCCUAAGGGGCAGCCUCUGGACUCGCACCCAGGUACUCCUCCUGUGCUCCUCAGGUGCUGUCAUGGCAGCUGCUCUGAGGUCUCAGCACUGCCUGCCCCAGCAUGGCCGAGUUGGGCAGAAGUGCUGGAGCGGAGGUUUGCCUUCUGUAUGGCUGCCUCAGCCAGACCCACGCAUGACUCUGGAAGAUUGUGUGGCGCUCCUGUGCUGUGCACCGUGGUGUCUUCAAUGUCACCAGCAAUCUGAAAUGAUAUUCAUAUUUUCUAAGGUCAGCAGGGCACAGCACACCCAGGAAGCAUCUGAUACUUUGGAAGAAAUCUGGUUUGAUGAUUAUUAGAAUUGCAAGAGUAGCUGUCUUUUAGUAAGUUUCCCCCUACUCCCAUCAGCAAAGUGAUAAGCACUUUCCUUCAUCAUCUUACUUCUUCCUCUCAUCAAUGCUAUACAGCAGGAAUCAGUGUCUCCAUAUCCCAGGGGAAAAAACGAAAGGUCAGAGAGGUUAUGUUCAAGAUUACACAACUUGAAUAUUGUAAGCUCAAGAUUCAAACCCAGAUCUCUCUGAACGUCAGAAAAGCCUGGACUCUUUACCAUUACUGUAUUUAUUUAGACAAAUACAGUUGUAUGUAUUGAUAGUGGACAAAGUAUUUCCAUCUAUGCAUAACAUUGUGGGAUGAGCAAACCAAGGUGAUUGACAUGGGCAUUACUUUACAUAUAUAUCUUUGUGUGUGGGUGUCUAGUGAGAACACUUACCUACUCUCUUAGCAAUUUUCAAGUAUCCAAUACAUUGUUAUUCACCAUAAUGACUAUGUUGUGGGAUAACUCCCUGAGCUUCUCUGCGCCCACCCCCCUAUCUAAAUGACAUUUUGGGUCCUUUCAAAUCACCCUUAUUUCUCUCCCCCAGCUCUAGACCUACAAUCUGCUCACAUUGGUGAAGUGAAAGCACCUGCAGGAUUGAAUUUACCCAGUAGGUUAGGACCCUGCAUGCUCACGGAACCGCCCUACCCAUCCUGCCUCCCCACCUGGCUCUGCCUCCUAAAUGGAUAGAUACAUGCUGUUCUAAAGUUGGCCAAGCUCUAUAGUCUCCUUGGGAAAAUAACAACCUUAGAACAUGGGACAGCCCUGUACUCACAAAUUGAUGUCAUAGCCUAAGACAACCAAGGCAACAGAGGAUUCUCAAGAAGGUAGUGGAGGGGACAAAUAACUUCUACCUCAGGAGAUCAAAACGUGAAGCCACUGGUCACUAUUCUGCUGGCUUACACUGAUGUUUACUCACCAUGACAUAUUAAUGAAAGGCUUUUAAUGUCAGUCAUUUCAAUCACAAAUCCUUACAAAAUAAGCAAAGUGUUACUCUUGCUCCAUGAACAGGAUACAGAGAUUCCUGCUAAAAUCACCCCAAGCUCAACCCUGACCUCACCUGCUUUAAUUAUGCGUGAAGUAAGUCAAAUUCCUUUGCAACAAGCAGGCAUUCAUUAUCUAUAAUUCCUAUUUUAUAACUUUUUUGUUUGAUCUAUCCCAGAAUUCAUUCUGAAGAAAUUCAACAGAAUAAAUGAUCAUUUUCCCUGACCACUUGACUGCUGCUUUGAAUAUGUAAUGUGGCUACACAUGUAUAUUAUUUAUGAAAAAUUGAUUGCUGUAACAUCUCAAUAUUCCUUUCAUGCCCUGUGAAUGUGGACUUAAUACAUUUCCUCUGAAACCCACGACUGGCCUGCAGUACGUGACAAUGCCUUGGAGAGGCGAAUGGAUUUAUUGGUUUGGGCAGCCUGUCGUCUGUGCGGAAAUUAGGGAAUUCCUGCGCACAGUCGGCUCUCGCCUGCACGUCAGGAGCUUCAGCUGGCAUGGGGCGUGAUGACUGUGCUGGCCCAUAGGGCAGUCCCCAGUAAAUUUGGAGGACAAUAUAGACCAGCAUCCCAGCGUUUCUCUAAGGACCAUGGUCUAAAAACCACGCCCCGUGAGGGAGACCCGGGAUGCAGGGAUGCACACUUUCUCCAGCUCCCAGUCUGACUUGAGCCCUGCGGGGUAAGUAUCGGAUUCCUCCAGACGCAGAUCUUGAAACGACUGGGACGGACCCAAGUUGUUUCUUUAGGAGGCAAUUCCAGGCAGAAGUGGGAGAGGCGUGUGGAAAUGAGACAAGGAGGCCGCAGGGGCCAUGGGGAGAUACCACUGGGUGCUCUGGGACCAGAUCCUCCCUGCAGAGGAAGGAUCCCAUGUGUGAGGCCCCGUGUACAUCUUCCGCCUCCCAAGUGUCAUUGCACGGGCACGCACAGAGCCCAGGGUCCCUCUGCAUUCCCUGCCGUGAUGGUGGGGUGGGAGGAAGCCCUAGGGGCUGGGAGUCCCGGAGACCCAUAGAGGACAGAAAAGGACAUGAACUGGACCAGUGAAUACUGCGGGGACAGCGUCUGCAGCUGGGAGGCGUUCCUGAGAGUUUACAAGUCCAUCACCGCCCCGUCCCUCACGGCACACCCAGAGCCUGGGAGUCAAGCCAGAGUGGCUGUGCAAAGCCAUGCCUGCAAUCACUGUCGCUGUUUCUCUGGAAUCCAGAUGAAAAUGAUCUACAGGCAGGGAUGAGACUUGGGGCAGGAGAAUGGUUUGAGGACACAAAGCUCUGGUGUCCUGGUGAACAACAAGAUCUGGUCAACUGCUUUGCCUACAAGAACCUUCUGAAGAGCAAUUCUGGUGUUGGAUGUAUGAGAGAUUGAUGAAUUGUGAAUAAGAUGCACAGCAGGUAAAACAAAACGAAAACAGCCACAAGGGAGCUGUCCCCGCACCUCCACCACAAUGGCAGGGGCAGCAGCGAACCCAGCAAGGAUCCCCUGCCUGCAGUGGCUGCUCAGAGACUUGCGGCUGCCUCUGUCUGAAGGUCUGGCUACUGGAGGAGUUCUAGGAUGGGGAGGGGGGCCCAGGAUCAGGUCGAGCAUUCCUCACUGCUGGACCAGGCAUGAGGUAGCUCACACUUCUGCAGCCUGGAAAAAGAGUGGAUUUGGGCUGCGCACAUCCCUGGUGCCCAAAGCGUGGCCAGAAAGACAGCCCCUGUAUCACCUGGGAGCCUGUUAGAAAUCAGUCUCUGGUUGAGCCCCGGAUCGGAUGACUGGAAAUGUAUAUGUUAAUAAGGUCCCCAGGUGCUUCAUGCUCACAUGACAGUUUGAGAGACAGGGCACUGGCUACAGCUUCUGGCCCAGCUCUGCGUCUUUGGGGACUGAGUCAAGAGGAGCCCGCAUGGGCUUGGAGUUUCCCAUGGGCCUGACACGGCCUUGUUUCAUUUCAUUCACUAAAUGACGGUGCUUGGCAGGAGCACCACCGUCCACCUCUUACAGAUGAGCUCAGAGCUGCCUCAUGAUGUGCUCAGAUGCGUUCUGCAGCAGUCGGUGUGGACAUGGGGCAGCUGCCUCUGCAGUGCACCCAACUCACACCAGACUCUCCUGCCCUCGAUCCCAUGGGAGGUCCAAAUGGCCCCGUCCAAAGAGUGACCCCAGGCCACAGAGCAGCCCAAUCUUGUCCAAUUUGGAUGAUUCUAGGAAGAUUUCCAAACAAGAAAAAAAAAUGUUUCGAACCCAAACUGAAGGAGAUGGCAAAAGACACAAAGUAAUGAAGUGGGAGCCAAAAUGGUUUUCUUUUCCUCCACUGAAUAUUUUUCAUGUGGUAUCGGAUGUUCUUUAAAGGUCAAAUGUUACUAUUGCUCAUUUCCUCCUCAGCUAAUCAAGUAUUACGCAGUGGCUUAAGGUCACAAGCGUGAGUUACUGAUGAAAAUAAAAGCCUGUUCUUGAUUUUGUAAGGGAAACACAUGAUUUGAGUACACGCCUGUAGAAACUACUUUAUGUUCAGGGCAAGCAUGUUCCGCACGUAUUUGAAUUUGGGCAGAUGAUGUUAUCUCAGGUCAAGGAUUUUGAGUGCAAUCUCUGAACACUAUGUACAAGGGCCACCCUCACCAGUGCCAAUCUAGGGGGGAUGGUAUUGAUAGGAAAGGCAGUCGUUUGCAUCCUGACCAAGGCAGACACUGAGUUAUGCAAAAGGACCAAUAAGUUGCCUCAGUUUUCCCUCCUGUACAAUGGGGAUUAUGAGCUGCCUGCCAGCACCGGAGUGAGGGGUAAGUGGGAUAGGAUGGGGCAAAGUGCCUGCCACAUGUUUUCCCAGACUGAGUUCAAUAAAAUAGUAGAUUAGAAAAAAAAAGACUGGAAUAAGUACCCAUAAUUGUGAGCCUCCUUCAUGCUAGGGGCAUGGUAAAACUUCUCUAAUGAAACCCUCACAGUCACCAACAUGGAGGAGGCUGUAUUCCCAAUUUAACAGGAGAGAAAACUGCUGAUCAGAGAGGUUGAGGGACUUACAUAGGAUUGCAGAGCUGCUGAGUCCCAGCCUUUCCUGGCCUGACAUCAUCCUGUAGUGGGAGUCUCCCCAAGGUCCUAAAGCAUUGACAGCCUCACCCCUGGCUCACCCCAUGGUGGUGGCUGUAUGAGGAGAAAUAGCCUCUGCGUCUUAGUACCUGUCCCAAAGGGAGGUUUCCUGUGCUGAGCUAAUGGAGCAAGGCCACCAUAGCUUGGAGGACUGAAUUAAAACCCCAAGUGGGGUCUGCUGGGUGCUGGUCAAAUGAUGGGGAAGGGGAGCUCUAGGUACAGGAUUCCCCUUUUGCCCAAAACUCACCACCUUCCAUUUCCAUUCACCAUCAUAGGAUUUCUUUGGACAUAAGAGAGAACCCACUCCAAGUAGUUUAACCAAAAAGGGGAGGGGAAGCAUUCAGAAAACUCUCAGGGGACCCAGUUUCAGAGAGCAGAGCCACAUCCCUUGGGAGCUGGGAGCAGGAGAGGAAGCAGGUGUGGGGGUGGGCAGGGGCAAGCAGGGAGGGCCAAGGUGGCUCUUCUGUCAAUGUUGCUUCACCCAGUACGGGCUCCUCGCUCCCUCUCCCCCUCCCCUCCCCCUCCCCACUCUCCUGUCUCCCUUUCUACUGCAGGUGGUGAAGGUGGCACAGCGUUCAUCCAUACAGUUAGCAAAGGUGGGGAACUGGGGGCUGGGAAGGAACAUUCCACCUGAGGGAGGGGCGAAGAAAGGAGGACAGGGGAAGGAUUUGCAAGAUAUGGUGGUCUAUGGAUUAGAUUCUAGCAAGAGGGAUUUCAGGAAUAAAUGAUGUAAGAACUCAAUGAGAAAAUACGCUUGGGUAAGGCAGAGCCUUGGAGGGAGUUGGGAACUGGGGAGCCAGGAAUGAAUGCCAGUUAUGGGGAUGGGGCUUCUCCCAGGGGUGCCUCAUCCACCCUCCUUCCUUUCAUGGCCACCCUCCUCUGCUCAUCUAAGGAUGGGCAGAUUGCACUUUUCCAUGUUAGGCAACACGCUGUGCAAAUACAGCUUUAAGCUGCUUUCCAACGAGGCUCUGCAGAAAGGCGUCCCCUGAGAAAGGCGAAGCCAUCAGGAGAGCUGAGGGCUGGAGGCUGCUCAGCACUGCUGUUUUCGCCCCUGGCCAGGGCUCCCCCUCCAAGCCCUGCAUCAUCUCUCUGCUCUGUCCAGAGACACACCUCCAGGGGUUGCUCUUGUUUCCUCCCCUUUUCUUUGGAAUUCUCUUAAAUCAGGCCUGUGUCCCCCUCAGCCCUCGGUCCCAGGCACGAGUAGCUCCUGGGAUUUCCACAUUCCCAGAUCCAGGAAUCAAUGCAUCCUCAUCUUCUCAUGUCCUUGCAGCACUGGAUGGGGGUCAGCUCCCACCUUCUCCCUGAAGUGUUUUCUCACUGGGUUUCUGGAACAUUCUGCCAUUGCUUUUCUCCCAUCUCCCAGGAGCUUGCAGAGGUGUGGUCCUUGGGCCUCUUUCCUCCCCCAGGUACCCCUGCUAGAUGACCUCAUCUGCGUCAGGGAUUCCUAUUUCAUUACAGGGACCUCCUCCCUGGUCUCCCAAGGGGCAUUUCUGGCCACCUCUUUGGCAACUGCGUUGGAGAGGAUAACAGGCUUCUCCCUAAAGGGCACUUCUAGCCUUGCCCCAGCCAGCACUUCCAGCAUUGCCUUUCUUCCGGGUGCUCAGAUCAAAACUUUCAAGCGUCUUUUCUUCCAAGCUUGGCUUCUCUGUUAGGAAGUCUCGCCAGCUCUGUCUUCCAACCAGGGGCACUUCCAGCACCUCCACCACCGUCGCCAGGGGCCGAGCCACCAUGCUGUUAUCUGAAGGACUACGUGGCCCACCCAACUGGGCCCCCUGCUUCUGGGCUUCUUCUCCUGCAGGAGCACAGUGAACCUGUAGCCUUGAUUCCACUUAAUCAAAGCUCAACGGCCUCCCGUCCGUUUGACUGGAAGUGUCUGCUCAGUGGCUGACAAGGCUCCGACCUUACCUCCUCCCCUCAGCCACAGGAAGAGCCACAUCGCCUGCCCUUCCUGCUGUCUCCUGAAUGUGUCAGGCCAGCUCUGACCCAGAACAUCUGCAGCUCCCUCUGCCCUCUUCGGGAGUGCUCUUCAGAAAAGUCUGCACGGCUUACUGCCCGCCUCCUUCCUGCCUUCCCCCAAGGGGGUCUUCCUCUCCAGGAGACUCUGAGCAAUGCAUGUAAAAUUGUGGCACCCGUCUUGUCUACUCAUCAUCCACGACGUAUUCUCCCUGCGACACGUGUGCUCAUCUAAGGAUGUGCUAAUGAUUUAUUCAUGUAUUUGUUUACUUGUGCAUUCAUUUAUUAUCUGUCUUCCAUCACCAGAAUACAGGUGUUAUGAGGGCAGGACUUUUGUACUUGUUGUCCUCUUUUGUACUUGUUGUUUAUUUGUUGCAUGACUAAAUAAAAGCAGCCCUGGCAGAGAGAA